GCGAGGCGGGGGCGCGGGGAUCGGAAUGACGGGGACACGAAUAACGGGGACCCAAAUAACGGCAAACAUCGGCCGACGUGAGGGCUGGGUCGCUAUACCCCCCCUACAGAGAGGGAGACCCCCGGGUGGUCUCUCCCGGCCCCUGCAGCACCUGCCUGCGGCUCGGGGUCCGAGGCCGGGCCGGGAGGCGCGGAGCGGUGCGGUGGGGCGCGGAGGUGGCAGCGCCACAGGAGGGAGGCUGGGAUGGCAGCUGGCCCUGAGGAGAAGGGGUUGUGUUUCCAGAUGGGAAACCAACGUGGAGAAAAGCGUUACCCCACACCGAAGGGCACGGUUCGAUUAGGAAGAUGCGGGGUUCGGGACGGCGGCAGGGAAGGGCAGAAGUUUUCUCCCAGAGGUGAAAUAGGCUGUGUUACUUACAACGGGUGUCGUACCUCAGGCAGCUCCCUGCGCAGAGGGAUCCGCUCGCUGAGCGCUUCGUUGAAGCCGUGGGUUUCCAAGCCGAGCGGGCGCUCCCCCGUCGCGGCCCCGUUGCCGUCCCCCAGAGGCAGGGACAGGAGCUGGGACUCGGGGUCCCCCUCCUUCGCCUCCGGCCGCCUGCUUUGCUGCUUCACCACUCGAUAGCCUUUCCUGGCCUUGCUGUGGUUCCUUCGACCCGUGGGGGACACGACGGCCGCGAUCAACUCAUCCUCCCGCAGGGAGAUGAACGGCGACAGCCCGUCCAAGGGGUAGUACUGCUGGCUCUCCUCCUGGGUCUCCAGCAUCUCUUGGGUCUCCGCAAAGUCCACCUGGUGCCCUUCCCUGGGGUUGAACUCCACAGGCUGGAAAGUCCCGUCCUUGCUCCGGUUGCUGGCUGGCGGAUUCAGCGUUGUAACCAUCAGCAGCAAAAAGCCCAGCAUCAGCAACAGCGAGAGAAACUGCAGCUUACGUGAUCCAUAUCUGCAUUUCUUCCUCAAGAACAUGCUGUUGGUGACAAAAUGAUACAGACUGUCAUGUUAAAUAUCACUCGGAUCUCGCUCAGAUUCCAGUGCUCGGGUUGCAGCAACGCGCCGGUUUUCGCUAUCUGCCAAGAGGAUUUCUUGUUCCCCUCACAUUUCACCGAUGCCGUUUCAUGCUUUCCUCUCUAUUUACAGACAAAAUAGAAAACGCCUAUUAAUAUUGCACUUACUGUGGUAAAAGGCAGCAUGGAUCCAGUGGGAUGGAGUAGAUGCGUUGUUACGGAGUCCCGGCUCAGUCAGGAAAGAGCAUGUUCAGCCAAUGAAAAGAACAGCUUAAGUUUUGAUCUUUUCCUCUUUAAAUUCUAGGUGCAAAGAAAUCCCAUUUCUAACAGCUUCCUUCCAGAGCGUUUCCUGCUUCUUCAGAGUUUCCCUCCCCUCAUCUCUGAAAGCAGAUCUGACAGCUUUCCCCCGUCUGAGGCUUCAAGUUCACUGUGAUCAACAGAUGAGAACUAGUCGGUCCCUGACUUUGCUUCACACAUAACUGCAGCACUCAGUCAGGAAGCGCUUUGCCAGACAUAAUACAGAGCCAUGUGUGCGUCUUUCUCCUGGUCCUAAUGCCCCCGCUGCUCUUAUCCUAUCAAAUCAAAACUUGGCGAAAGCUGUCAGAGGUGAAACCUAAGAAGCAAAGCGCUGUGUUAUGAAGCAAGCCGAGGCACACCACGAGUCGCUCUGCUUCUGGAUAACCUUAUUAAGUUACGAAUGCUCAGAGCGAGAAGCAAGAAUUUUAUAAACUGAAUAAAAGAUGGAGUGCACAUGAUUUAUUUAGUGUUAGAUUUAUUCACAUGGUAAUGUGCUAGCUGGAGCAUAGGAGUACAUUUCAUCUGCAAUAAAUAUUUACAGCUGCUAGGAUUUUAACACUGACAUAAGGAUGCCAAAUUAUCACCUGGCAGACUGAAGUUUCCUCAUCCAUAAAUUUGGUGUUGCACAGGGAGCAGCACUUCAAGUUCUCAAUAGUCCAGGAAUAACACGUAGAAAGCUUGGGCUGGAACAGCUCCUGACACUGAAAGAGAACAACUUCUGUGAUUAAAUGGGGAGCUCAGCCUCUGAAGUCCAUUCGCUAAUAUUGCUGGCAAGUGCGUUAGUGGGCACUGACUGUGGUGUUUUUUGCUGCAAGAUGGGUGACUGUCCAAUGGGAAAAGGAGGGAGACAGUCCACAUGCUUCAACAUCACGUGCCUCUUGGUCUGGCAGAGAUCAAAUAUGGAAGUAACUCAGGUGUUGCCAACCCUUUUGGCACUGGAGACGUGGGGUGUGAUUUUUUUUUUUGCCUGUCUUGUAGCAUUUGUUUAUCAAAAAGCUCCAGCUCUGGGAGGCUUCUGACUACUGGGGAAUUUUCACACCCACCUGUUGUUAAAAAGGGGAAUUUCUACAUGUUGUAGGUAAAAGAAAAACUUGAAGACGUGAAUGCAGUACACUCAAAAGGAAGCCAGGAAUUCAUUUUCUUUCCUUCUUCUGCAUUACCUCCCUACAACCUCCUUGCUUCUGUAAGUUCGAUGUACGGUUUUCUGGUAAAUGGCUUUCACAAAACCGAAUAGGAGAGGACCCCAAUUUUUGAGCUAAAAUGAGUCAUUGCCUUUCGUAAGGAGGGUCUGUAGAGUAAAUUGUUGGAGGCAUGUAAUGUCUGGCACUUGUGUACUCCCCUAACUGUCUUAUACAGAACGCCUUGAGCAAGUGAGACCAGUCUGCUGUGUCUUGGCACCUUCUCUACCCCAGCUGUUCUUAAAAAGAUAUAAUACUGCUUCAAUCAUAUCCCGGUAGAAGGAGAAUUUAGCCAGUAUUUUGAUACUUCACCAUUGUGUGUGCCUUCCCUUUUGAGCUAAAUUCACAGAAAAAAAUAACAUUCCAACCACCUUCUGUCUGGAGAAUACUGCUCCUUAUCCUUCUUUUCAUAGGAAAAAAAAAUACGUGUUGAUGAGGGAAGCAGCUCAUAUUUGCAUAAAAGAAAAUCUGAGCUCAGAAGCAUUCAUUUAAAUAACAAUACGUGUCAGCCAUAGAAAGGCAAAGGGCAAUGGAAAUGAAGAGACCUGUCCGAGGCACUCUGCAAAACGUUCAGUUUCACGGACUUCCAUUAUCAGGUUUAUGGGAGAAAAGAAAAGGAAAAACUGAAAGAAGAGUGUGUGUGGAAUAAAUUGGAGAAAGGAUUGGCUUUCUUUUUCUAUUCUGAUCUGCUUGAGCAUUUUUAUUUCAUUUUGUUGUAGUUUUGCCUUGGCUAAAAUAUUGAAACAGAAUUCUGAAACAACUGAUCAAGAUAAUUCUACCCCACAGUGGUUACUGCUGUAUAAACUCUCUCCUGGCACGUUCCGUGUUGCUGAACAAAUGGAUCUCUCAUGCAACUGUAUUUCAGCUUUAGAUGAAAAGAGACCCAAUUAACAAAUUUACAUAAAUCUUUGCUACUUUUGGGACAGAGCUGAUAGGUAAUUUUAUCACUGAACUGUGUGCAUAUAUAAUGUGACUUUUGAAUAUAUCCCAACCAUUUUAAUGAAGAAGAAUAACUACGGAGGGAAGGUGUUUGAAGAUUAGUAAAUUAAAUGUAUAAAAGUGUAAAACACCACAUGUCACCAUUCCAGCAGUCUCUAUUCUCUGUCCAGCAUGGACCUCUCUACUGAAGCUUGUCUUGUUUCUGAAAUGCACUUGAAGAACAGCAUUACGUUCAUAUUUGCUUCCUAUCUGACAGUAAAGAAGGCCAUGUCAAGAAAACAGCAUCUCAAAGAGUGGCUAGAGCAGCCUUCUCCACUUCCACUCUCCAAGUAAGGUGUGUCCAACCUGAAACCAGUGGGCUGCCUGUGGCCUUGGACAGCCAGUAAUGUGGCCCCUUCAGAUCAUAAACUUUUAGCAUUAUUAUGUGAUUUUUAGCCACAUUUUUUGAGUUGAUUGCAUGUAGCUCAAACAAAGACUGCAUAGUUGACAACAGAACACUGAAGGGGAGGGCACAGUGCAGUGCUGACUCUGCCUCUUGUGCCUACCAUACACAGUUGCAUCAAAACCCAUGUGAGUUACACGUUACCAACACUUGUGCCACCUGAUGGGUAAUAUGUAGUGAUUGCCACUAUUUCAACCUACCUCUGCAUGUAUGUGCCUUUUGUUAAAAAAGAAUAUAUGUCACUUAUAUACAUUAACUAUAUUAUACAUUUUAUAUUGUAUAUAUAAUUGUGGCCCAAGACAACUCCUCUUCACACAGCGUGGCCCAGGCAAGACAAAAGGUUGGACACCCGUGCUGUAAGUGCUGCUUCUCACAGGUGUCCCACAGAACAGAUUGUCCACAAAAGAUGUUGUCCUCUAGCUGCUGUUCUUGCAGCAGACCCUAGAGUCAACAGGAGAGAAGCAUGUUACAAGCUGUGCCAAAUAGAUGAGCAAUUGCUCCAGAAAGGGCCAGCCUCUGGUGAAGGUAUUGACCAGUGCCAAUAUCACAUUGUCUUUCCUCCUGGGUAACCUGCACAAGUGGUAAAAGACAGGAUUCUAAGCAGUCUUGCUCAGGCAGACCCAGCUGUAUAAGGUAUACAAACCUUCAGUAAAUAGAAAGUUGAGUCAUAAUGACUCCUCCAUUCUUUAAUUACAGAAUCACAGAAUAUGCUGAGUUGAAAGAGACACAAAAGGAUCACAGAAUCCAACUCCUGGCUCUGCACAGGACUACCCGAAAUUCAAACCAUGUUUCUGAGAGCGUUGUCUAAAUGCCUGUUGAACUCUGGCAGCUUGGUGCUGUGAUCGCUGCCCUGGGGAGCCUGUUCCAGCGCCUGAUCACCCCCUGGUAUUCCUUGGACUGGUGUGAAGAAAAGCAGAUAGCAGUCCUGCUGGUCUUAAAGAACAACGUGAAGCUUUUAAGGUGACUUGCCAAAGAGAGAAAAGAGGAGACAUACAGGAGCAAUAUGAACAAAACAGAAAUUUAUGUCGGAGAGGUGCCAGAUGAGACAUCUGGGAACGGCUGGAGGACAAACUAUGCAAGAAGUUUAGCCACAAUCCAUGAAAGCUAGAAAAAUUCUGCCUCAGCUCUGUCAAAACCCCAGAAAAUGAAGCUGUGCCUGAAGCAACACGCUGCAACUAGCUGGGCAUUUUAUUUAAGGCUUAAGCAGCAACAAACAAACAAGCAAACAAACAAAAAACACUCUGAGAGGGAAACACACAGGAAGGUUUCAUGAAAUGCUGUUUCCUUUGUAUCCUGAAUGCCUUUGGAGUGUCUGGGAGGUCCUGCACGGCCUGGCCUGUGGCAAAGUGGGUCAGAGAGCAGCCUCCUGCCACCUGAUGUUUUGUUUUUGCUGAGAGGAUGGAAACACUUGCAAAGUGUUAUGAUGCUUCUGUCAGUACUCGACAUGCACGAAUACCAAGAUUCAGCAAUUUGCAGUCGUGGAUCAUAGUGCAGCAGGAGACCCCCCCCAGCAAACCCUCCCUGUGCUCCCCUGGUGCAGAACAGCUCCUGCAGCAUCACUUCCCCCCUGAGGACCCCAGGUGACAGGGGACUGAGGUGAUGCAGGGUGGCAAAUUCUGCUCUUACUGCUCCCAUCACCUGAAAAUGAAAGGGAUGGGAUAGAGCCCCCCAUGUAAUAGAAAUUCAGGGUGUUUGGGAAGCUCUUCAUGGCUUCUUCUGGUCUUAAUAAGAGGGCCACGCUACAACAUUUUAUAAUCCUGUGAGAGCCAAAAAAAGCAUCCACAAAGCCCAGCUUGCCCAGCCGCAGUGUAUGGGAAACAGCCCUCAUGAAGAAAAGUGAGCAAAAACCCCACAGUCCUUUCACUUUUGGUAAUCCCCUCCCAAGCAUUGUUCCAGCCCAGAUGCACUCUGCUUUUCCUAGAUAGAGAGAGUGGGAUCCUGGGCUGGCAUCAGCUGGCAAUGUGCCACCCACCGCAGUGCAGCUGAUGUGGCUGUGCUAAUUAGCUCUUGCCAAGGCACUGACCUGCUGUUUUCUCCCUGACAGCAUCCCAUUGGUGAAACAUGACAUUCCGUGGGGCCAGGCCAAUCUGCUGUCUUUGCCACCCUCGCACCACUCUGGCCAGCAGAGAAGCUCAGGCUGGAAGCCAAGGACAGACCCGUGGCAGGAGUAUCACUGAGCCUGUGGGAAGCCUCACACUGUAGAAAAGCCCCAGGAGGACGGGAAGCAGCCGUGGCUGUGAAUCACCCUAGAAACAAGUGAUUCGCUAUGGGUAAAUGUGUGGAAGUAGCACAGUACUGUAAAGUGUGACUAAGGCUAUUAUCACAGAGCAGUGGGAAGGCUCCCAGCCCCCAGCACUUUCUUGAGGGUAUGUUAAUUAUUGCUAGGGGCGUGAAUACCUCAUGUCUGGAAUAAGCAACUCUUACUAAGCAGCUCCAUUGCUCUGUCCAUGCUAGAAACAAUGCUGGAUUGUCUAGAAAAGACUGUCGAGAACUUCUUAUAAAAUAUCAUUAGUGGAUUGGAACUAGGUGAUCUUUAAGGUCCCUUCUAACUCAAGCCAUUCAAUGAUUCUAUGGUUUCAGUGAUAAAACUACCAUAAUUCAGUACCAUCCAUCAGUGAGUGCUCAUUUAAUUAAUGGUAUCUCCCUCUUCAGCAGCAGAGAUCUUUGCUCUGAAGAGUCAUGGUCCUAAUGAGGACUCAGGCUGCCCUUGCAAAGAGUCAGGACAGGAGAUACGAACGCUGCUGCUCUAAGAAUCCUUGCUCCGGUAACUGUGAAGAAUGAUGUCUUGUCUCCCUGUCACCAAAGCAACAAGGCCGGUGUAUGGUCUGCUCCUGCCACAACCCAGGAGCUGUUUGGGCACUCAGGUGCUGGGAGUUAGCGUAGUACUUAACACAGACCAUUUGGAACUGACCAAUGAGGAAUGUUGGUGGAAGUCCUGCCUUGUGAUUCCAUGGUGCUUGGUCACAUUGCCAGAUCCUUCUGGGUCCCCUCAUAUUUCAUGAGGAAAAAAAUUACCUUGGCUAAGUUGAACUUCGUUGUUAGGAACAUGAUGGGAGUUAUUACUCUCUUCUGGACUGCACAUGUCUGGGUGCUACCAGGGAUUUGCCAAGCCUUAGUUAACAUUGUAUCACACAGUAGUUUGGUGUCUAGAGAAUGAAAAAGUCUAAAAUAUGCAAAUGAGCCCAGAACUGAGCUGCUUCUAAUCAUGCUGGAUUUUCUGUUUUCAUUUUAUGGCCCUGCACUCCCAAGGUCACCCUGAAUGUACCGUUUCACUUGUUUUAAGGCUUAAAUUGUCCUAAUGGGCAGAAAGUUUAUAAACAGAAGGCACCAUCAUCCUUCAGAGAGAAAGGUAAUGCAUAGUGUUGUUAUGCUGGAAGCACAGAGGCAAGCACGAUUCUUACAAAGACAAGACAGCUUUUUAUGUAAAUAACCUUGGAGCAAGGACAUUACCAUAACAAGACCUUCACCAAUAACACUUUCCAUCCUAGUUUCAAAUUUUGUAUACAAUAUGCAUCGUGACAACAUUACUACAACUCUGCUUAGCUAUUCCAAAGGAGAAUGCAGGCUAGGACUAAUGAUUACACUAAUGCAUUGUGUUGGUUAAUUGAAAGAAUUUAUGUCAUGAGAUAAAUGUCAGAGUUCAAAGUCAAGCGUGUGUACGUCUGUGAGAAAGAAAGAGAGAGAAUAUAUGCAGGUAGGAUUGUCAUCAGGGAAAGGACUAAAUAUAAGCCUCUGUGAUUUUAUAUCAGGGAAAACAUCCAGAAAUCCUUUCUAGGCAAUACAUUGCAUUCUUGUGGGACAGUAAUGAUGUACAAGCAAAGCAGCAUCUGUAAUGAGCUUGUAGUCAUCAUUGAGACUGGGAGCAUUAAUGCCAAUUUAUCUGGGAGGGAAGAGUGAGAAUAUGCCACUGAUGCCAGAAAAAUCCAUAAUAUUUCCAAGCAUUUUCUUUUCCACCUGGCCAAGAGCGCACACACACACUAUUAAUGAGAACACUAUUUUUUCCUACUAGCUUCCUGGAAGCUAUUUGCUUGUCUAAAAUACUUCACAGAGUCAUGGUAUAAUAAUACUAACUACUCACUACUGCGUCUGUUAUCUCAGACAGCAACUGUACUGUGAACUUGGAAGAGCAUUUUAAAAAAUGACGAAAGCCUAUCUUGAUCAAUGUUGACUAGUCAAUUGCUUAGUAUAUGCAAAAAACAUUAUCAUCCUUAAUUGCCCCUGUGAUACUGCACUCUGAGAGGAAUAUCCCUCAAAGGAAACCCUUGGGAGAAAAUGCUACUCUCAGCUUUUAUGAGACUAAUGUGGCUUGGAGUGAAUUGAUCAAACUCAUUCCGCACAGUAACUUAAAGUGCCUACUUAGCAUUAUUCCCAGUUGGUAGAUUACUCUGUCUAGUUUAUAGAUUAGUAAAAUGUUUCCCUUGUUGUUGGUUUCACCUGCAUUUUAGCCUGUAUUAAUAUUUAAAUUCCCUAAGAACAACUUUUGUCAUCUCUUUGAUGACAACAGAAGAAAUUAAAGCAAAGCAAAGGUAAACUUUGAGAUUUAUUCUUUUAUCUCCUACUUGGUACACUACGACUUUCUCAUUAUAGCUCUUCAGAGAAACAGGCUGUACAGGUUGCAGCCAAGUGCCACAUGAGACAACGAUAUCUGACUAUUUGUUGAAAGAGUCCAAGGGCUUUGAUUCAGCAAAGCAUUUCAAUAACUGCCUCACUUUCAGCAAUGAGCAUCUCCAGGUCCUUUAAUGCUUUGUUUCUGCACUGCCCUUAGGUUCCCCAGGGUGGAUGACAAUCGUAGACUCAUAGAAUCAUGUAAUCAUAGAAUCAUAUAACAGUUUGAGUUCGAAGGGACCUUAAAGACCGUCCAGUUCCAACUCCCCUGCCAUGGACAGGGUUGCCACCCAUUUCAUCAGGUUGCCCAGAGCCCAAUCCAAUCUGGCCUAAGGAUUAGGAGAGCACACAGUCUUGCUCAUGAUCAGCAAGUCCUGCAUGGCAGAGGUGGCCUGGCAAACCUCCUCUUCUGGAAGAAGGCGAGAGCAGCAAGAGCCCCAGUCCUUGAAUCCAGAAAUUGGAGGUCCUGGCCCCUCCGCAAAGCGUUGUAGGCAGAUGGGAGCUCUGCUUGAGAGAUUUCACAGGAAAAGCCAGCAGGGAGUGUGAUCUCAAGAGAUGGAAAAGAAGCUGUACUAACCUGUUCUAGGGUCUGAGCAUAAACCUUUUCACAGAAUGUAUUGUUUUCACUCCUACACUAGAUGAGUCCAUUAGACACUGCAUCAAUUACCAAAGAGUAUGUAAUGUAAAAGGCUCCAAUGGAUGUCCCAUAUCUAACAUGCUAUUAUAUACAAAGUAUAGCCGGGAAAAUAGCUUUUAGUAUAAAAGGGUUUUGCUGGAACCUGAGGCAUAUGCAGUUAGGUUUCAGUUCACUAAUUUCUCCUUAUUGAGGGCAGGAGAGUUUGCUGUAGGGUAAUCAACAACCUGGGUCAGAAAAGACUGGCCUGAUCUCAUACAAGGCACAGAGCAAAGAAUGCUUCUCUCUUAAUUCCUGUGCAAAAUUUGCUACCAGUGUUUGGUGCUAGAAAAUCAACCAAUUAUAAUGUUAAGCUUUCCAAUCGUGGAAAAUCCACUUCAGCCCUUGUUAAUGUUUACUUACCUUCAUUGAUAGGCAAAAAUGCUUUCACUUAAUUUGUAGUCUGAACUCGUCUGGUUUCAACCUGCAUCUACAGAGUCUUAUUAUACCUUCCUGUGCCCUCUUAUAUGAAGCUGCAACGUUAGCUAGAAAGAAAAAAGCACGCGGGUGUUAUUCCACAGGAAAUUAAGGUUCAGGCAGAUAAUGAUGGUACCUUCAGUGAAUCCAAGUGGCAAUGCAUGUCACCUUGCAGAACGUAGCCAAGAGCUGCACUUUUUGGGUAAUAUAUGUCAGUCUUCUGAGAUAAGAAUUACCUACCUAGAGUCUAACAUCAGUUACAGUCACUGCCUUUUAAGACGUCGAAACUAUAAAAAGGGUCAACAUAUGAAAUAUUCAUGCUGACAUUUCCCUGUAGCGCAUCCUUUCUGGGCUCAGCCAUCUCCUCAGCCAUGCGCUCUGCAUCACGCUGUGAUCCCCCCCCCGCCUGCCUCCCUCCAGGCCCUGUCAAUUCACCUGGCCCUGGAGCUGCUUUGGUCUUCUUCCAUGAGAAACUCUGAGACGUUUCUUAUGCUGCUGCUCUGCUUGGAUUGCUCUGAACCUGUGCCUCCUCUAACCUGUCUGUGUUUCUAAGCCCGUGUGAUUCUUUUUCACUGCCAAGCAGCAGCCUGACCCCCAUUCUUGAUGUGGUUUCAUGCCCCACGGUAUCACACUAUCAAAAAAAUUCAAGUAACAAGCGCAUUACAGAACACGUUUUACACAAAAGCAUGGGGGAAAAUAUAAAUCCUUACAGUUUAAUGUGAGAUAAAUUAUCAAGACACUCACUUGUGAUGACUCAUCAAUAAAAACCAGUAGUGUAAUUUUAAUACAGGUUGACUCACACGUAAAAGCGAAAAGCCAGUGUGGCAUACAAAGGUUUUCUUUUGGAACACGGCUAAAGCAUUGCUUUGUAUUGACAUUUUCUCUCAGCACAGUCGAACGAGAAAUUCAUACUAGUUAAUCUUUUCCUGCAAAAUCUUUCAUUUUUCAUAAAUUGGCAUUUCACAGCAAAUGUGACACAGCACAAUGCAACAAAAAUAAUUGAAAAAAUAUCUUCCAAUCUGAUUAUGUUUAAUUAUGAUGAUCAAACUCAUGCUCUGGGGGGUUUUAAUUUUUCCUUUGUCUGUUGAGCACCAUGUGUGGUUCUGGUGAUACAUAAAUAACAGCAUGUUGAAUGAGAUGUGAUUGCCAGUUCGCAUGGUGAUUCCACAUUUAAAAGUAGUUCAUUCCAUAAUGUAAUCCUGGAUAUUCUGUAAUGCUGUCCAUCACCACAGUAUUUUGAGCACUUCCUUAAACAGUAUGAGGGGUAUUUUUGGAGUGUCUGGCACUUCUUGCUUUUUGAGGUCAAAAUUUUGUGGAAAAAGGCAGUAGUUGUUGUUAAUGUGAGCUGUUGCCUAUAGCAUACAUUUCCUCUUUCCCCCAGUUGGAUUCAGUGAAGAAGGAAAUUUUCACUGCAAAAUUAUCCCAAAUUCUUCUUUAGAUCUAGUCAUCAUCUUUUUAAUUGCAUUCACUCAAGCUUGCAAUCUGGAGAGGCCAUAGAGUUUUACAAGUUCAGACCUGGCUCUGACUUGCUCCUUCUCUUUCCCAGUAGUUCUGGACUGGCCUUGGUCAGGUGAUGUCCUGCAGCGAGCAGGGUCAGUCUGAUAUGUGUUUCAACAAGGACAGCUUGCAUGUAGCCAAGGUCUGCCUUCCGUGUACCCCAUCUGCUAGGACAAAUGCCUCACUUGUCACUCGCGUUCAAGGGUGACUCCGGGAGCACAGCUCCAAAGCCUGCAGAGCAGGAGGGCAGGCGCUGUGUUAGCAAGGGCAGUGGCUGCAUCAAGAAAUAUAAGAUGAAUCAGAUAACAGUAGAUUUCUCUAGACUGCCCUCACAGUGAAAAGACAAAGGCAGAUGUAAUAACUGGGGAGACUGGAAAAGUGGGAACGUGGCACUGCAUCAGAAAAUCUGGCAUCCUGCCCCUGCCUGCCUAUCAACUAAUGGACGCCGUGAGCAAGUGCUCUGUUGCAUUGUGCUUUUGCUCCCUUGUAUCUUCUCUUAGCCUUCAAGACAUACUGAGACCAUCACCUGUUUGGGGAAGGUGCUGUUUUGUGUUUUAUAUUGCUGGGAAAUCAUGUCCUCUUUGUGGUAGGGUCUUUGAGGUGCUGCUGGAAUAAAAGUAAUUUAAAACAACAACAGCCUCAAAUGCACAGCGGCAAUCAAGCAAGUUUGCUCAUAACAAGUUGUUUCUGAGUGAUAUACAGAUCAUUUCUGCUGUCCUCAGGUAAAGCACCAAGUGCAUACAUUAUCUGUACAGAAAAGCAAACUUACCCAAAUUCUUUAAAAUCCCAUGAAUUCAACCAACCCCAGCUGACAGCGAAGCCAUGGCACCAAGCUGGUCCAGGCUCUGCCAACACAGGUUUAUAGUUUUCCUCCUGAACUCGGGCAAACUGAGAUACGAAGAUGGGACCUGAGCAUGUGACCCAAAGCCAUCUUCCUCAAGAGAAUUUCUUUGUAUGAGCGCUAAGAACAUCUGAUGAGUCACAUGAGCUGGCCAUGCUUGCUCUUGCACAUAUCCGUGCGAAAGCAAAGCCAGAUCACAUAUGUAUAUUGGAUAUUUUGUGUACAAAAGGUGCAUCAGAAGACAGUGCCAAAAGCCCUGUCAUUGGCAUUAUAAAAAGGCUCUGCAAGUCACUGCUCAUUAGAAAACAGAUUUGCUUUCCCCACCAGAGCACUCCAUGAACUGAAGAGGGAGAGCAGUAGCAAGGGAUGUCAGCUAGCACCCACCUGACAAAGCAUUUGAGCUGGGCCGGUUUGGGACCAGCCAGGAGAUUGACCUGUGGUUCUCCCACUACUAUGAAGGUUUCCUCCACCCUGUGAGCAGCACUGGUAAUUAAACCAGCAGAGCUAUGCCGCCAGGGCUGCCAGGCUUGCAGAAUCUGCCACGUCUGAUCCUUGCAACAAAGGCUCCUCUCAACAGCGCUGUGUUUCAUCCUGUUAAUGGUGAACAAAGUGCUUGUUUGUGCUCAGAACAUACUCAUCUCUGUAUCCCUGCUUGCUUGAUAAGCACGUUUCUAGUAUUUCUGUCUGAAUUUGUCUGAGAGACAUAACAAGGGAGGGGCAGGUGCAAAGUCUGUAAAUCCCCUUGUAAUUUCUGAGGUUAAUUUCUAUCUUAGCUCAAAUUUUUAACUAGUAGCAUCUCUCAAAAUACAUGAUCUCAAUAACAGAAUGCAGAAAACUGUUGCUAGAGAAUGAUCCUGAACUACUUUCUAGUUUAAGAUGACUAAACAAAGGGAGGAUUUUCUUUCAAAAUCUUCUUUGGUCCUUUCUGCUUUGUCACUGUUGACAGCAUAACCAAUAGCGCUGCCAUUCAAGCUUUUAACUGGGAGACAUCUUUGAAGCUUCUUUUUGCUUUCCCAGUACAUCCAGGAACUUUCUGGAAGUAUUUAACACUUGUAAGUACAGGCCUAUAGGACAUACAAAAUGAAAAUGCUGUCUAAUGAUCAGGCAAAACCCACUCGACUCUACGUCUUCUUUCUGACUGUUAGCAAUAGCGCAGACCUCAGUAAGAAUAUGACAAAGCAACUAUAGAGCAAAGCUUCCCCACAAUACUCACAUAAGCACCAGUAAUGCAUGUGAAAGGACUUCUUGACCCACAGAGAGCUAUGGUUAGAUAAGGCCUUUGGGAUGAGAAGGUACUUGAACUUCCCCAGAUCAGAAAGACUGAGACAGAAGGAAGGGGGACAGGGCAGCCAAACCCCAGAGGUAGAGACCUCUGUCAUGAAAGUGUUUGCACUAAACAGAGAAGCUGCAUUGAAAUAAUGGGAAGCAGGUUUAAUAUGAAGAAACAGGAUUCACUUUGCCUCCUUAGUAACUUGUUGGAAGAUCCUCAGAUGAGGAGAAGAGUGUAAGCAAAGCAGCAGAUGUGAGGUGUCCUUUGGGCAGAAUCAAUGUUUUACCAUAUUUACUAUUGCCAGGCUCCCUCCACAACAGGAAGGAAUGACAAUUGAAGGACAUGCCUCCUCCAAGGAAUAACUGUUUCCCUGGAAUUAAAGAACGGGCAAACUGGAAGGACCACAGCCUGAGUGUGAGGAGCAGUGUGGGGCCUCCAAGUGCAGGAAGGGCUGGGACAGGAGGUAGGCUUGAGCCUCUGGUAACUGCUAUGCACAGAUGAAUCAUAGAAUCAUAGAAUAUCCCGAGUUGGAAGGAAUCCAUAACGAUCAUCAAGUCCAACUUCUGGCUCCACAUAGGACUACCCAAAAAUCAGACCAUAUGUCUGAGAGCAUUGUCUGCAUGCUUCUUGAACUACGUCAGCUCUGUGCCAUGCCCACUGCCCUGGGCAGCCCGUUCCCAGCCCACCACCCUCAGGUGAAGAACCUUUUCCUGACCCCCAAUCUGCCCCUCCCCUGACACAGCUCCAUGCCGUUCCCUCGGGCGCUGUCGCUGUCACAGAGAGCAGAGCUCAGCGCUGCCCCUCCGUUCCCUGUGAGAGCUGCAGCCACCACGAGGCCUCCCCUCAGCUCCUCUGCUCUGGGCUGAGCAAACAGGCACCUCAGCUGCUCCUCAUACAUCUUCCCGUCUAGAACCUUCCCCAUCUUUGUACCCCUUUGAGCACUCUCUAAUAUUUUUAUGUCCUUUUUGUACUGUGGCACCCAGAAAUGCACACAGUACUCAAGGUGAAGCCACACCAGUGCAGUGUAGAGUAGGACAUCCCUUCCCUCACCCACUGGCAGCAUGGGCCUGAUGCACCCUAGGAUUCAGUUGGCCUUCCUGGCUGCCUGGACACACUGGUGACUCAUGUUGAACUUGCUCUUGACCCCCAGAUCUCUUUCAGCAGGGCUGCUCUCCAGCAUCUCAUACCCCCAGUCUGUAUGCACAGCCGGGAUUGCCCUUUCCCAGGUGCAGAAUCUGACACUUUCUCUUGUUAAAUUUCAUGGGUUGGUGAUUGCCCAGUUCUUUAAUCUGUCUAGAUCUCUCUGCAAGGCAAGACGAAGCAUAAGCAAAAGAUGGCGAAGGAGUCUCUCUGUGUGGCAAACAUUCUCACACGAUCAAACAAAUUUGAUCAAACAAAUUCCAGAUAGAAGGGUGUGCCUUCAAGAAAUCAAUUCAGAUGGAGGACCUAGAAAUCAGACUGAAACUGCCCUGCUUUAGGGUAUAGGCAAAAUCAGCACACAUUUUUUCCUUGAGAAACAGUUCUGGUAGUGACUGUCCUAAAACCAUUUCAUCAACACAUACCUCCAUUCCUGUCAUUGCAGUCAGGUUCUGAAACUGUUCGCUCUACCUCCAUUUCAGCUCCUUAGAAUUAGUCUCUCAAAUGUCUUAUAUACAAGUUCAAAGGCUCAACCAUGUUAGCAGCACACAGUUCACAUCAAGUAGAGUCUUGCUUGUUUUAUUGCAACUGAUAGCAAUCUCAUUCCAAAGAGUGGAAACACUAUUUCUGACUAAUCAGGUCACGCGACAUAACUCGCAUGCAUCAUUCAAUAUAUAAUUAUUACAGUUAAGCAUUACCCCAUACAGAGAACACACUCAGCAAACUCAUUCAGUCUUUUUAAUUGUGCCUAUAAAAGUGUGUAAUGUCAUCAUAUAGUUGAUGCAUUGUCGUGACCGUGGUACUCUGAAGCAGAGAGAUCUUAUUCUUGCAAACUGAUAAUUGCCACAGUAUACCAUAUCUGUAGCCAUAAGUGAUAAAUUCAUGAAACUAUCUCACUGGGAUUCGAUCUCCUAUAUAUUGCAUUGUAAAAACCAACUGGAUAGCACACUAUAUGUUUGGGGAACAGAGCACACUAGAUGAAUCACAUUUUACUUUUCUUAUCCAAAAUGAAUUGCGGACGAUACUAUAUAACAGUUCAAUACAGUGUCAGUAUUGUUGCCACGUGAGUAAUAUGUUUUUGCAGAUAAAUGAGAGGGUUCAGCAUGGUUUCAACUUUCUCCCAAAGCCAUUUCUACUGCACUGCGAUCCUAUGAUUGCUUUAGCCAAAAAUGUCACAAUUCUUUUAAAACCUUCUGUCAAUCACGUUGCUCAUUCUUGUGGCUCUUGUGGCUCUUGAUGCAAUGAAUAUUUUCUUAACUUCUGCAUAAAAAGGAAAAAAUCAAUAAAUAUUUAUCUACAAUUUGUUUAUACUCAACCUCCCCCGUCCCAAGCUCCCCCCCCCCCAAAAAAAAACACCCCCCAAUAAAGGGAUUCAUUGCACUCUGCCAGUCAUGCCAACCGAUUGGGUUUAAGAAUAAAAGUACAUACAAGAAAUACUGACCUGCAAAGCUUUAUUUUUGUCAAGGUGCAUACAAAAACCCCUCACAAUUUUAAAAUUCAUUAUUACAUAGCUGGCUCUUCAAAGCAGUUUGUAAUAAUCCUCUUCAUUUUGCUUGUCCACUGAGUAGACUUGUAAAAACUAGCCCUGGUUCUGGCAUGUUGCAAUCUCUUUAUUCACCCAUUAGGAAUGCAAUUUAUUGCUGAUAAGAUACCGUGAAGUAGGAUAUGCAUAAAAGUUUGUUGACUGGGAUGGUAUUGUCAUGCUUGGCAGGAAUGUCAGUUUUUUCAGCUGGCUGUGGAAGAAAUAAGCUGCAUAUCAACACAGUUCUUUUUUUUUUCCUGUUGAAGAGAAGUUUUGAUAGAAGGACACAGUGAGUUUUGACUUUUCUCUUUGUAUGAUUAGUUUUCCUCACCCGGUUUUCUGUUUUUGCAGGUAGGCACACACAUCCACGCAAAACCAAACCACAUUAUCUGUCAGAUGUACACAUUUAUUUGUGUGUUUGCUGCCAAAAGCCUUCCAAUCAGGGAUCUUCUCCAUUCCUUAACUAUGGUUAUAGUCUGAUGCUCAGGAGUUUUUCAUGGAAAGCGUGCUAGCUCUGAAGAUGAUUGCUGAAUACACAGCCAGGGUAAAACUCCACUAGGAUGCCAAGCAAUAACCUGCACUCAGAGAAGGUUAUUGUAAGGAUAUUGUAAGAGAAUCAUUGUACUCUGCUUUUUCUCCCAGAGACCACUGGUUCUCUUUCAUCGCAGAGAAGUAGCAUAGACUAGAACAGAUGGACUGGGACAAUGCUCAAAAUGCCUGAAAUGUGGGAGAAAAGGGGUUAUCACCUCCAUGCUGUGCUUAUAAUUCUCUUUAGGCAUUUCUACACAACAGAUCUGGCGUGGAGAAGGCAGGGAUGGCCUGUGAGCCUGUUGUGGCCAUUCUUGUUCAAGGGGACUUAAUCAGUGCAUGUUUUGCAGUAAGAAAACACCUUACUGAGCAUCUCUAGUUGCUGAAUAUCAUUGUUCCUGCCUGUGCAAAGCAUCCACUUCUCCAUAAAAGCCAGACAUCUUUAUUCAUGAGGAUCAUGAACCUUUAAUUACACUUGAGAGUAGCAGAAAACAGUAGAUUGGUGAAAUGAAGCUGCUAGAGAUUUUUUUUCCAGUUUCUGAAGCUAAGGAACUAAUAAAAUAAGAUUAGGAUUAGAAUACAACUUCUUUUUCUUUAGAAUAUCUUGAAACUCUAUGGUGCUGGUCCUUCUUAGUUUGACUCCGUGUGUCAGUGCUAAGCAUGCUCAUUCUAAUACUGACUACAGGCCAGAUAUGAAUGAGGCAUCCAUGUGCAAACAAAAAUUUGUGAGCAGUCUCCAUACCGCGCUGCUUGAAGAUGAAACAUAUUGUGGGGUAGGGACAGCAUAGGCAAUGAAGCUCACUGGGAUGAUGGUACAAACUAGGAUAGUCACUCCACAGAUAUUCUUCUCUCACUUGUGAAGCAUUGAAGUAGGAGCAAAUCUGAUAAACAGAAAGAAAAUCGUGAAAUGAGGAUGACUGAAUGGAAAAGAUGAAACUGGGGAAAAGAACAGACUCAGAGGUGAUACAGAGGUGAAGUAAUCAUAAGAGAGGAAGCACCAGAGACUGUCAGUGGAGAAAGAUACCAAGUAAAAUGUUUUCUGAGAAUCGAAAAUGCAAUGUUUUGGCUCUAACCAGCUAGAGCUUCUGGCUGGCUCCUGGAACUUUUCUCUAAAGCUGGUGAGGGGAAAGGAGCACCAGAAAUUGUGUCUACGCAUGAUAAGAAAUGGCAGAGGGUAGACUGAGGGGCCUUGGUUUUGGAUCAAACAAACAAAAGUUUGAAUCAGUUUGUCCUACAAAGUUAUGCAUAAAAGACAGCAAAGCUGAAAAUAAAUCAAAUGCUACUUCACACUGACACAAAGGACAGUGUUAUCACUAUAACUUUUAAAUAAACACAUUGACUAUUAAUCAGUUCACUAAAAUUUGUAUGUUGGAAUGUAGGUAAUAGACCUUGGAGAGGUUAAGAGUCUGAAACUGACUGGGAGAUCAUACAGCCUUGAAAGCUUUCUAGCUCUGUUAGCUGCUGAGCCCCAGGCUACCAAUGACUUUAAGUCCAAGGUAUCCAAUUAAUCCAAAGAAAUAACCUGACCAGUGAGCUAGAGAAGGGAGCCAGGGAGCAACACAGCUUGCAAAACCAAGUUUCCGCCUCUUCUUCCAUCAUUUAUUAGCAGUUCCUUCUCCUUUUCUGUUCUCCUCAUUUUGUGUGUGCAUCUUUCUUUAUAGAAAGGUCUUGGUCUGGUGCCAAGAUUUGUGCUAUCUUAUGUUGGCAUGGACCAACAUUCAAAUCUGGGUCCUGGUAUUUAAUUAAGAACAGUAUUUAGAGCAUCUGUUUGCAAAAUCAGUCAGAGUGAAUUAGGUUAGCAAAAAAACUUCGCAGUACGUUGUGAGGCCAUGCAUUUUAUUAUUUGGAGCUUAUUUGGAGCUAAUUUCCUUGUGAAUAUGUACAGGAUGAAUUAGAAAAAGCCUAAGUGUUCUUUCUUCUUCUUGACUCUCAACACAAUAAUGACUGUAGGGAAACCACACUGCAGAAGCACACAAAUAAAAUGUCUUCUAAGUCACAAGGUAAACCUAAAUUAGAGCACUACUUUAAUGAAAGAAUUGGCCUAAGAUGUGAUUUCACUUAAGCUGAACAGAGAAGAGUAGCAGGAAUGAUGCCAGAGUAAUAAGAAACACAAAGUUUAGCUUGAAUUAUCCUUCCUUAUUUGUUAUCUUUGAUUUUUUUUUUAAAGUGGAUGAUCCUGCAUUAAGCUACAAGAACAUAAUUACUCAGGUACCCAGUGAAUGUAGUAUGUUUUACAUUGAGGCGAAGACGUUAAAGUCCUCUAGAAAUGAAAUGAGAGCUAUUUCAGCAUACAAGACAUUACCUUACACCAGUAUAGAAUAAUAGAAACGGCCUCAUCUAGAUUGAUGUUGUUUCUUAUUACAGCUUCUGAUGAGCAACAUGAUCCAAUGGCCUUAACAUUAACUUGAGAAUCAGAAAACCCCAUUUAGUGACAGAAUAAACCCUGCAUGCUCCCUUAAGCAGCUAGAGGUGAACGCCCUUUGUCAUCUAACUUUUGUUCUUAUACUUAUCCUUUGGGAAACUGUGAUGAGGGCCCUUUUCUUGCACUACAAUAAGUAGCAGAAUUGAAUAGCUGGUGAGUAAGGUAAAAAAAAAAAUCUUAGAGAUGAGCUGUAAAAAUAUUAAGUGCUUCCAUACCAUCUUUCAAGAAUGAGAUGAUAAACAUGAGAUGAAGUAACAACCUUACUAACGACAGAGGAUUAAUGGAUUUAAAAGUGCAUUCUAUCAGAUGUUCUUGUGUUCUCAGCUGACGUCUUCCGCAAAGCUAGCAGCUUUCAACAUGCCAAAGGAAAAAUGAUGUGCAAAUACCAACCAUUUGCAGAAGAGAGUGUUGACAUGGCAUAAAGUCAAAAAAUGCAGAAAGAUGGGACAUACUGACUCCAGCCUCCUGGUCAGGCAGGAACAGGGAGAGGCAGACCAAGCACAGAUCAUGCCAAGGCACAGAAGUGAUGGGCCAGAUCUCUUGGGAAGAACAACCCAGAAAGGAUGCCCCAUCCUUGGGCAUGGGGCUAUAGGUACAAGGCUGUGCAGCUUUGGGGAACAUGGGGAAGUGCUCUUUCUGCAUUGUUGUUUGACCACCAUCUGUGUCUAUUUUCUACCUUAGCAUGGUACAGCUCAGGUGCUUCAUUGCAUACUCGGAGAUAGUUUCAUCCAGGAGAAGGGGAGAGGCUCAUAACUUCUUCCUACAACUGAAGGACCAAAGAAAGCCCCAGAUCGGUAUGUGCAGAUCCACCUGGAUAUUCCCUUCCAGCUGCUACUGGUUUAUACUCAUGCUUUGAUACUGGUACAGCAUCCCUUGAACGUAAGACACUGGUUCCUUUUUCUAAAAUGACACAGACAUCUGUGAAUGUGAAAUCUUGUCCUCAUAUCCUUUGACUGCUUGAAAGUUUUAUUCACUGCCAAUGCUAAACUGCUUUUUUUUUUUUUGAGCUAACCCUCAUCCAUGGUUUUAAAAAUUAGCCUCAUUAUGAUGCAAUGUUAGUAUUAGAUCUAUCUAUUGCUAUUAAAGUUAUUUGCUUACCACUCACGUUAGUUACAUGGACUAUUAAACUACAUCAGUUAUUGAAGUUGGUUCUAAUUGGCUAAUUUUAUGAUGUGACUAGCAUAACAACAGGUUAUCUAUGGCUACACAUCGUGAAAUAAUGGAGGAAAAUUCAUUCAUUAUUUAGAAGUUUAUAAAAAUAGCUCUCUUAACGUUAUCAUAAAAAAAAGGCACUAAUUUUAUUGGCAUAAACCAACCUCUCAGCAAUCCUUUAAGCCACAGAAAUUAAGAUACUGGUGAGCAUCCAGCCUCGAACCUUCAAAACAUUAAAAUAAAACAGACGCUUUCUAGUAACAAGGCUCUGGACAAUUAAUGAAUUUCUUAAGUCAGGCCACUGUACAACACUAUAAAUUGAGGAAAAAAAAAAGAAUAAAAUGAUGGAUGUGAUGCUCCACUCCUCAGAACUUCUAUCCACAUGCGCUCGUGUAUCCCAUUAAUAGAAUGGCUUUGAUAUUGGAACUAAUCUUGCUGGCUGCACUAAUUGCAGAAAGGCUUUCCAGCAUGAUAAAUCACAGAACCACAGCAAACAGGGCUAGAUGGGAACUCAUAUUGUCUCUCCUUUCUCUUCAUGGCAGAGCCAGACCUACCCCACAGCUGGCAGAUAUUAAUGCUUCUCUGUGGCGCUAAGCACACUACUCCUCCAGGCCACUUAGUCCUGUCCUCACCUAGCCCUUACUGUUAAACUUCUUUUCUCCUAAUAUUUAACCUAAAUCUUCCUUUUUGCUUUUGAAGCCCUUUAAUUCUCAUCCUUUCCACAGGAGGACUCCAAUAAGUAGUAGUUCAUUCCUCUUCUCUCACCAUUUACGUAUUUCAAGAGGCCUCUCAAUCUCCCUACACUUCUCCUUGCUUGACGAGAUUACUCCAGUCCUUAUAAGCUGUGCAAACUGAACACAGCAUCUGACAACACAGUAGGAUUUGUUGCUCUCAUUCUAUCUAUCUCCAAUAGGUCCAUGCCCUUCUUGGCCUGUGCCCACAGUACUCAAGAAUAGAUGACUUUUUCACAACUUUAUGACGCUGCGGAUUUCUAUUCAACUUGACAUAUUUUGAUUGGAAGUGGCACCUGUUGCUUAGUUUGAUUGCAGUUAUUUUCCAAGUACUGUGUUAAAGGCUGCCAGAAGAGUCCAACAGAUACCUUAGGUUCUUGCUUUAUCCAAAUAAUCAUCAUAUAUGCUGGGCUACUACCACACAGGAGAGCACUGAACUCAUAUCUUCUACAGAUACAUAUACCAUUUUAAACAUUAUCUCAUAUCAGGUGAACUCAUCCUCUUUUCCCCCCUCCCCUCAAUCUUUCCCAGAGUUCAUUCCUUUUGAUUCUCUCUUUGCAUGGAUCAAAGGUUGUGAGCUUAUCGGCUCAUCUUCAGAGCUUUGUUUCAUGGCACUCCAUCUUUUCAAUGUCCUGUUCAUUCUCUGUUGUCAGCAGAUUCUUCAGAAGUUAUCUAUUGACUACCUCUUCUUUUCUUCUAUUCUAAGUGAUGGUUGGAAGUUCUGCUCAACUUUGGCCUGGGGCUAUAGUGGGGAGGAGGCCCGUAGCCUCUGGACUACACAGCCUUGUGAGAAGCUGAUGUUGUGACUUCUGUACUGGAACACAGGUGGGAACUGGAACAGGGUUUGGAAUUUUGGAAUUUUAACAAAUCUCCUACAAAGUUGCCCCUAAAAUUCUAUGAUUAUGAUUAUUCGAUCCCCAGAACUACUAAGCCUUUUGCAUUUUUCCCUUAAGCUAAUUCCUAUCUUCUACAUACUGAGCUGCCCUACUUUGUGACAAUCAAGAGGAGUUUGGUAGCUAGGUAGCUAGGCAUUUUGGGAAGAUUUCUUGGCACUUUUUGUAGUCAGAGCUGAUGCUCACUGUAACCAUUUGAGCAGUUAUACUGUUUUCCUUCUACUCAGUGAGAAAAGGGGACAAAGAACUGAAAGAAGUUUCUUAUUCAUUUAUUAUGCCUUGAAGGAAUAUAUGGCCUGUUGCUGCCAUUUUUCCAGAACUCUGCAAUACACUGUUCCUUACUUGGCAGUUUCCAGAGAAUUACUUAAAAAUUCAUAACCCAGAAACAUAAAAAGAUAAACAGCCGUGCUGGAUGCUGUAGUAUGUUAUGAAAAUAACUCAUGCCAAUUCUAAAUGUAUAACGCUAAUUAUCAUAACUAGAUUUGCAGACGCUAAAAUGAAAUUGGUGUCUUUCUUUCAACAUGGGAAAAUGAAACAAGAGGCAAAAAUAUCUCACAGCAGAAAACAAACUCAGUGUUGAAAUCGGUCAGUAGUGUUUUCAACAAUCGCUUGCUUAAUUAUUUCUUGCUUUCCUUGUGCUGCUGCCAAGAACAAAGGUCAUAUUUAAUGACUGCCUACAUCAUUUACAAUAUUUUUUAGACUUUCCCUGGAGGUAGCUGAUGUAGAUCCUUUUGUACUCAGUAGGAAAUUCUCAUAUGGAUUAUUCUGUUGAAGAAGUGUUGCCUUUAUUUAUCAUUCUAAACUUAUUUGAAUCCCUUCACAUCUUUCAAAACACAUAUUUUCUUUCUCUUCUCUGUUUGCUGUUAGUAGUGACAGCUCCAACAAGGCAACACUGGUUGUUUCAAGAUUAUAGAGCAUUCAGGACACCCACAUUAGCUUUGAAGUAAAUGAGAGGAGCUACGAGCAUUUACCUCUGACAACCACAAAAUAAUAUAUGUCACUGUAGCAUCAUAGUAAUGACACACAACCUUCACCAAGAGUCAGAGACAAUAGCACAGAACUGAAGAACUCAUUCUCCAACUUAUCCCUUAAGUAGAAAAAGGCGUGACUCCAUCAGUUGAGAGCAGUGGUUUACUGUCACUGUUCUCAAGAACUGAAAUCAAAGAGUCUCAUUUUUCUGAAGAUGGAACACCUCUGGUGUUUGCUCUCCUCUUUUUGCUUCACUGAUGGCAGUAGCUGGGCAAUAAGCAAUAGGAAAGUAUAUUGCAAAGAACUAUUUAAUGAUGAUGUGAAAACAGAAGCAAAAAGCAGAAGAAAAUGGAAUAUUAAUUACUUAAUAUUGGAGACAGCCUGGAACAGACUUCUUGAUGUCUGCUAACAAGCUCCAAAUUGGGACAUGUAUGAAAAGUAUGUCAUAUCAAGGAGGGUUGGCAAUGGAAAGUUUUAAGGCUCAAAAUGAUGAACUUGGUUCCAUUGCAGGGACCAAAGUCCAAUUGCAGAAUUGGCCUUGUACUUUCUGUAUUUUUCUCAGUAGUCAGCUUUACACUGACAUCAAAUCAUGGCAGAGCUUCUAUUCUCCCAUAAAUAAAAGUGUUUCUUCACCACUGGAUAAAAUGUGGGUCCACAUUUUUUAAUGUUUCUUUGAAAACUGACCCUUGAAAACACACACUAACUACUUCAUCCUUCUCUUUUCAUUAAAAUAUUGGCUUUGACAUUUAUGUAUGAUGGUUACUUUCUAACAUCGCUAAACUUGUACAGAAUCUCUGGGUUCUGUAACCACAGUGGAUUAAUUUAUGGCUGAAUGUAAGUCUGCUUUUGCUGUCAUUUUAGCCCAAAGCUGAUGGACUAAAUACCACCAUAGGGAAACUCAGGUGGUGAAAGACUCCAGCAGGAGGGCUUUUCCCAAAGUCAGUUUUUACAACACACCUCAGUGCUCAGGGCUUUAUGCAGUAAGGUUCUGAAAACCUCUGAGGACAAAGAUUGCAUACCUUCUUUGGGCAGUGUCUUCCCAUUCUUGAUGGCCCUCAUGCUGUUUCCAUUUAUCUAGUCAGAACUUCUAAUCUUUCAAGGCAUGUCUGUUUUCUCUUGUUCUCUUGCCUUGUACUACUGUGAAAAUGCCGUGACAACACUGUUUCCGUUUUCUCAAAAAUUUCCUUGUACACACUGGAAAUAAAAUUAUACAAAAGCAGAAGUAAUUCCUGAAUAGGUUAAAUUCUAUACAAAGCAAGACUGGCCUCAUAUCUGUGUAUUUCCCAUUUUCUCACAUCUUCGUCAAGGCCCCUUCUGGCAUUACCUCCCUCCCAUUUCUCAGUGUUGAUUCAGCAAGGUCUCUAAGCACAUGUUUGAUAGUAAGCAUGUGUGUGUAGAGGACCACUCAUUUCAGAAAAACUUUCAGAGGUGUCACACAUACAAACAUUCCCUUAGAGAACACAAGUGGACAAAAAGUUGUGUGAUUUAAUACACAUCUUCCACAUUAUUGGAGCUGGAAUUAUCCAAAUGAAAUUCUUUGGAAUCCCUCAGUUACCAAAGCUGGAAACUAACUUGUUUUUGUGUCUUAAGCUGAUGCUCUGAAAUCUUUCCUUGGCUCAGGAAAAUAUGUUGAUAACACAUUAAAUAAAGUGGGAACUAGUAACACCAUAUCUAUACCUAGAGUUGUGUUUUUGGAAGAGAGAAAGGAGAGCAGCUAAGUCAUGCAUAUGCUCCAUGUUUCCUGAGCAGGACCAUAAAUCAGCAAACUGCUGAAUGAACCUUUACUUUCAUAUCAAGACAGCCCAUUGAAAUGAUGUCCUGUAAGCUUGUGAUUCGCUAUCAACAGAUUGUCACUUAAAUGGCAUUCUUAAACUAUUAUCUAAAAGGAAAUAAAUAAAGCAGAGACUCUAGUAGUCCUGGGGCAAGUUUAGCCUAUAAGAAUUUGCUGUUCUGACAGGUCCAGAGCCUCGUUUGUUUUAAUACAGUGUGUAAUGACACUGGUGCAAAUUGCCCAUAUUUAAUAUCAUGGAGACACAGCAAAUGUUAAUAAUCUCUUAAUUAGUCAUGCGUACUGACAAUAAAAAUUUCCACAAUUAGUCUUAACAAGCCCAAAUUGGAAGACUGGCUUUCUUUUCUUAGGGAACAGGCACACUACUAGAUAAGUAGAAUUAGGAAGAAACUGCUUCCUGAGUGCAGUCUACACUUAUUCAUUACUGUGCAUCUGGCCACUUUGAGAUAGCUAUGGAAAAUGGAAAUGAAAAUGGAAAUGGAAAGUCAGUCCCAACGCUACUUGAGAACAGCCCAACACAUCUGCAGUUCCCUGAAAGAAUGACAAAAGGUCCAAGUGAAAGAGGAAGGCAUGGAUGAGAGAGAGGAUAUCAGUGUACAUACCUGUGGUAUUCUGACACUUCCCAGUGCAUACCUGUAAUGUCUGUUUGGAUCAAAUAGCAUGACUCCUCAAUGCUAAAUCCAACUCUUUUGUUUACAGGGCGCUCUUCUCAAGUCUAUUGUACUGUUUCCAGUAAUGCCCACCGUUCCAAGGAAUGGCUUUCCUAUUUCUCAGCUUUUCUCUUGGGUAGUGUCUUACCAGUUUUCAGGUCCUUCCCAGGCACAGCAGCGCACCUUUCUGUUUCAAGGGGCCCUAUCACUUCAGGAGGAAUUUGCAGUAACACAUGGUGGCAGCAGCGAGUAGCAAGCAUGGAAUGGUGAAACGUACUCAAGCUUCAAAUACAACGUGGUAUUGGCAAAUUACGUAAAAUUGUUGAGUUUUAUAUCUACCUUUUUUUUUCUGACUUUCCACCUGUGUAUUUCUGCAUUCUUUGUGUGCAUCUUUGCAUCUCCAGAUAUGACUUAUGCAUUCAUUCUGAGGGAAUUCUAUCCAAUGUGUUAUAUCUCAACGCUUCCUUCAGAUCACACGUAGAAGCAACACAAUCCUCAGAAACACGAGCGUUUUAGCACUUCUCAUCCACUGGCCAUUUAGUGCAUGCUUCAAGCUCAGACUGCACAAACAACCUCUCACGCUGUAUCUUGUGCCAUCUGGGGGUUGAGGAAUGGAAGCUGAAACCGAUGGAGAAAUGCAGAGGAAAGGCUUUACUGUGCUAUGCCAUGUUCUUGCUCCUCUUCUCCAAAAUGAAGAAUUUCCUUUUGAGCAUUCCUCAGGUACUGACAUCUGCUCAUCCCUUUGCUUUGGAGUCAGAGGCAACACCACCUGUGGUACCGAAGGCAGCUUGUUUUUCUAAGCAAAUCCUUUUUAGGAUUAGGAUAGAGCUGUAUGUUAAGAGGUAAUAAUAAUAGAGAAAAAAUCAAGCAAAUCGUUAAGUAUGGUUAAUAUUUUCUUCUUAUUCUGGACCUUGAAAAUGUGAAAAUAUGAUGUGGUGAUGUCUGUAUCUGGAAGCUUUAUUUUGGGAGGUACAUUGUGUUUGGAGCAUCUGAGCAGCCUACCAAUCAAAUACCAUGGCACAUCUCUGGGCUCUGACUCAAGAAAAGACGUAGCAAAGAGCAGGACACCUGACAAGAUUAAUACUUCUACCUCAUUUUGACACUUGUGUAAUAUGUAAAGCUAUAAAUAGCAGCAUUUUAGGAAAAGCUUCACAAGCAGCUCAGCAACCUCUGCAGUGGGGCAGAGCAGGUGGUUCAGGGACCACCCCAACUGGAGGUUGCCUUUGCUCUUGAACCCGUGCCCUAUGAAAUCAAGGAAGAACAUCAGCAUAGGUUUACAGGCAUGACAAGGAAUUAAGUCUAUCCAUAGGAAGGCUGACAGCCAUUAACUACAGUGCUAAUUCCAAGCAUCCGUCACGUACCAUGGAAUUAGUGGGUUAGCAAGACUUCUCAUCAAACACAUCUGUCAAGACGGGAAAACAUGACAAUACAUUAUUGUUUUAUAAAGCAAACAAAAGGUUAGCACCUGUAUAUUUUUAUUCAUUUUACAAAAAGAUUGUUGAUUGCAACUGUCAUGGUCAUAAACUGAAGAAAAAUGUGUUUGCAGAAAUGGUGAUUUCAAAGCUGUUUCCAUCAGCCUGUCAUAUCUGUGAUAUGUGGUAAGUGUGCAAGAAGAACUGAGCAAGGGCUACUGAAACACUGCAGUCCAGGAACUGUAGUGAUCCUGAUAGGAUUUACAGUGGAAAAACCUAGUGAAGGAAGAUUUUCCACUCCUUUGCAUGCUAAUGCAAGAAAUAGUAGUCAAAGGAUGUGAAGACUGAUCAAGUAUGCAUUGCUGUUUUUUUUCUUUUCCUUGUUAAUUAUGGGAGAACAUUUGCUCCUGAUGAAUCCAUGUUCUUUUCUGUGUCUUCUCAUGGCCUAUAUUAAUCACUCACACCACACCCUAAAGGUGUCUUCAGCAAGACUUUAUAGUAGCUUUACUGGUGUUGUUCACGUAAGAUGUUUUGUUAUUCUUGGCCUGUGGUGCACUACAGGGAUGAUUAUAAUAUUACCAGGCUGUCAAGACAUUUCUAUUGGGUUGAUGGAGAAACUCUGAACUCUAAGCAAGCAUGUAUGCAUGCCAGUUAUGCAAGAAUUUGUAUUGUCCAUUUAGUAUGCAAACCUGAAUUGAAAUGAUGGUAUGAGGUAAAGCAUGGAGGCCAUAUGCUGCUGCUCUUUGUUGAAAUUUAAGUCUUUAAGCUCCUUGGCCUCCUGACUGAGGUAUUUACUUUGGAGAUAUGCCUACUGAAGGUAUGUGCUGCUUCUAGUGAAAGGGCCUUUAAAGGGGAUAUUUUAAUGUGCAGUCUGUGAAACCUCCACCUUUCACCUGGGAUGAGGGGUUCUCCUCACCAUGGGAGUCCCUGGGUGAUUGGACACAAGUGAGGAAAAGAGAAGCCUCAUGGCUCGUCCUACCUGAGCCCAAAGCAGUGCGUAGCCGAGGAGGCAACACCAUAUUUCUGACCUUAUCUGUCCCAAAAAGGAAAGGAAGACAGGAUGCUAAAGGUGUGCCUUUGUUAUUUGCAGGGGCAUCCCGAACUUUUGCUAGCACGGUGUGUUUCCCAGUGCCAUAUGCUGGCUAAAACAGCCGAAAUCUAACACACAACGAGUGCCUUGUGCUCAGUAUGGAGCGCUGCCUUACAAGGCAGGAAGGCGCCAUAGACAAGGCAGUCACAGACACCGCCUGCGUUAGCCUUGCAUCUGGAGAUGGAGAUGCUUCUCAGAAUGGAAAAGAGAAUAUAGCAAGAAAUUCCCGGAGCUGCUUUAGACACUUGUUGCCUUCUGUAGCGUGCUUAGGUUGUGUGAGCGUUUGGCCUCACUUCCACCGCACAGUACGUUUCAGAGCUGCCUCUAUCUAGUCAUGUGCUACACAAAUUUAGUUGCUGACUGUGAUGUGACUUUUACAGCACUGUUAGAAGAUGGCCAGAAAUGCAGUCCCACUGCAGUUUCAUUAGCAUAAUUGGCAACCGCACUUAUAUGGAUUCAGCAUUACUGAAACUGUUUCAAAGGGACUGAUUAUGUGCUGCAUCCCUUGGAGCAGUAUUUCAGGCUGAGGUCCCCUGGGAUGCGGCAGACAUGAAAAGAAACCCUAAAUUUUAUAGUGCUGCGUUAGUAUUUCUACAAGAGAAGUGUAGUAGCUAAAAUAAGGUUAUCAUGCAUAGGCAAUUACCAGCUUAAUGGAUUUACACUGUUCUUCUACUUUUAUCCUGAUCAGUUCUCUAUUAUAGCUUCCCUUGAUCAUCUAAUAAGUUUGUUCUUUCCGUAGAAACAGAUAUUCAGAGUUUUCUGACACUUGCAACCAAAAUGGAGUCAUUUACUAUUUGAUCUUGGAAAUGAGGUGCAGUAGCGCUGUAUUAGCACUGAACUGCUUGGGUCUGUUAGCAGCAACUUCUUUUGGACUUUUGUUUUCCCUCAGGAAGCAGAUGCCCAAAUGCAGCUCAGCAGCCAACAAGAAAGCCAGAAAGCUGGGUACAAAGUCACCUGCUUUAGUGCCCCCACGUCUCAGAUACUAGUUCAGCCAGAUGGCUUCUGACAAUGACAACAGAUGCUGAGAGCCCCAUCUUGUACCUGGACGUCACUGGAGUUUCAAGGAUGUCCCACAGCAACUCCCUCUUUCUCCAGCCAGCCUUUGUACUGCAAUAUAAACUUCUCAGGACUCUCCACUUUUCCUUUUUUCCACUCUUUUCCCUUUUCCUUUACCCUUUCCUUCCCCUUCCCUUUCUCUUCUUUCUAUUUCCCUUUCCCUGUCCUUUCCCUCUUGUUUCUUUUCCUUUUCCUUUUUCUGGAUGCACCAGGUGUACUACUUUAGGUGAGUAAAACAAUGCUGGAAAGUGUUGCAGAACCCGAAUCCUUUGUAUUUUUAUUCCUUUAUAGAAGUCAUUUCAGUUGUUAGAUAAAUAUAACAGAUUUUCAUACUACAUAUAUACAUCUAUAUACAUUUAUAUAAGUGCCAUGCAGUCUCAGAAUCAUACAAAUGUUUCUGCAUUAUGCAACAAGGAAUAGUGAAAUGAUGAGAAAAUGCAUUUUUAUGAGCACUGCAGUACGCGUGGAUGCAGUUAACCUGUGAGCCCAGACAGCUGCCAAGCUCCCACACCCAGCUGGGGAUGCUGCCUGUGUACUGACAGUGUGCAAGGACAAAAACGAACCAAGGGCCAGCUCUUGCUUCCACCUGUGGAAACCCAGGUGCAUUUUCUGGAGGGCCACUGUGACUUGGGAAGGGUCCCCACCGUAAGGUUCCCACCCUUCAGGCUACCCAGAAUCAUAGGGAUUUGUCCCCAAGUCACAGGGGUUAGCAUCUGCAGUAUUACAGAUUUGCCACACACAUAUUGCUACAGUUUAGGGGAGACAAGAUAACAACAGAGAGCCAGUGGCCUUUGAGCGAGUCCUUCCUCCUUUGCUCUCAUCAGGUUGAUUUAUUCCUUCCUAUACCUUGACCGUGCAAUUAAAUUAUUUGAACUUA